GGCAAGUCUUAUACGACCAGCUCCCGCUGAACUCCCCCAGGACCGGAAGGUAGCAAGGGUAAGCGGUCGUAGCGGUGCGAUGUCCGGCUUACCUUU
rnacentral:SRP_RNA from 1 species